UACGUAGGGGGCAAGCGUUGUCCGGAUUUAUUGGGCGUAAAGAGCGUGUAGGUGGCCAAACAGGUCAGCUGUGAAAACUCGAGGCUCAACCUCGAGACGUCGGUUGAAACCGUUUGGCUAGAGUCCGGAAGAGGAGAGUGGAAUUCCCGGUGUAGCGGUGAAAUGCGCAGAUAUCGGGAAGAACACCCGUGGCGAAGGCGGCUCUCUGGGACGGUACUGACGCUGAGGAGCGAAAGCGUGGGGAGCGAACAGG
rnacentral:rRNA from 1 species